GGAAGGAUCAUUAACACGUUAUUCUGCGUGCAAUUGUUUAUCUGUUGUGGGGUGUAUUGUGGUGUAAAAACCACGAUCACCUCAUAUGUUCUUAUGUCAAAAUUUUUUAUCUGUGUAAGCAACACAUAAAAAACUAAGAAAAUUUUCAACGAUGGAUAUCUUGGUUCCCACAACGAUGAAGAACGCAGCGAAAUGCGAAAAGCAAUGCGAAUUGCAGAAUUCCGCGAGUCAUCAGAUCUUCGAACGCACCUCGCGCCAAUCGGAUCUCCGAUCGGCAUGUUUGAUUCAGUGUCUUGUUGAGACUUGCAUAUCUCAUUGUGAUUGACUCUUCGCUACUUGUAGAGAAGUGUCUUUCAUGAAAAUAGAUUGCGCAUACCGCAACGAUGCAGUAGUCAGUUAACGCUGAUACUCAUCGGUGAAAUGGUAUGAUUACGUAAUGUUGGAAACAACAAUACAUAAAACUCAUCUCCCUGCAUCUGAAAUCAGGCAAGAACACCCGCUGAACUUAAGCAUAUUACUAAGCGGAGGAAAAGAAAUCAACGAAGAUUGCCUCAGUAGCGGCGAGUGAAGCGGCAACAGCUCAAGUUGAGAAUCGAUUGUAGUAAUACUCUCGAAUUGUAAUCUAUAGUGCAGUCCAGAAGGUGAGAACGACGCACAAACUCCUGGAAAGGAGUGUCAUAGAGGGUGACAACCCCGUACAUGGUGUCGUUCUUGCUGUAUGGAAGGCUACAAAGAGUCGGGUUGUUUGGGACUGCAGCCCAAAAUGGGAGGUAAACUUCUCCUAAGGCUAAAUAUUGGUGGGAAACCGAUAGCGAACAAGUACUGUGAAGGAAAGAUGAAAAGAACUUUGAAAAGAGAGUUAAAAGACUUGAAAUCGUUGAGAAGGAA
rnacentral:misc_RNA from 1 species